GCCCGGAUGGUGAAAUCGGUAGACACAAGAGACUUAAAAUCUCUCGCUGGUAACAGCGUGCCGGUUCGAGUCCGGCUCCGGGCA
rnacentral:tRNA from 1 species